CUCACCUCUCCUCCCUCAAAACUCACCUUCCCCUCAUGGGCUUUGUGUCCCCCUUGGGGUGCACUUAGCGGCCGAGGCGCACCCUGGGCUCGAACCAGGGACACCAGGGUCCCCGGGUCCCAGUGCAGGGACUGAUGGGAAAACACUUUCGUCCGUGAGGGACCCAGGCCGCGCUUCUCCGCGGCGAAGUUUUUUUGCCACCGGAAGUGCAAGGAGCUGUUUCCCAUUCAGAUGGAGGGUGUCAAGCUCACAGUCAACAAAGGGCUGAGUAACCAUUUCCAGGUGAACCACACAGUAGCCCUCAGCACAAUCGGGGAGUCCAACUACCACUUCGGGGUCACGUAUGUGGGGACAAAGCAGCUGAGUCCCACAGAGGCGUUCCCUGUACUGGUAGGUGACAUGGACAACAGCGGCAGUCUCAACGCUCAGGUGAUUCACCAGCUGGGCCCAGGUCUCAGGUCCAGGAUGGCCAUCCAGACCCAGCAGUCGAAGUUUGUGAACUGGCAGGUGGACGGGGAGUAUUCGGGCUUUGACUCACAGCAGUCAUCACCCUGGGGAACCCAGAUAUCCUCGUGGGUUCAGGAAUCCUCGUAGCCCACUACCCCCACAGCAUCACGCCUUGCCUGGCCCUGGGCGGAGAGCUGGUCUACCACCGGCGGCCUGGGGAGAAGGGCACUGUCAUGUCUCUAGCUGGGAAAUACACAUUGAACAACUGGUUGGCAACAGUAACUUUGGGCCAGGCGGGCAUGCACGCAACAUACUACCACAAAGCCAGUGACCAGCUGCAGGUGGGUGUGGAGUUUGAAGCCAGCACAAGGAUGCAGGACACCAGCGUCUCCUUCGGGUACCAGCUGGACAUGCCCAAGGCCAACCUCCUCUUCAAAGGCUCUGUGGAUAGUAACUGGAUCGUGGGUGCCACGCUGGAGAAGAAGCUCCCGCCCCUGCCCCUGACACUGGCCCUUGGGGCCUUCCUGAAUCACAACAAGAACAAGUUCCAGUGUGGCUUUGGCCUCACCAUUGGCUGAGCCCGCCUGGCCCCCGCCUUCCACGCCCUUCUGAUUCCACCUCCACCACCCCCUGCCACAGAGGGGAGACCUGAGCCCCCCUCCCUUCCCUCCCCCUCGGGGGUCGGGGGGACAUCGGAAAGGAGGGACCCCGCCACCACAGCAGCUGAGGAGGGGAUUCUGGAACUGAAUGGCGCUUUGGGAUUCUGAGUACCAGGGGCAGCGUGCCCAGUGGGCCUGAGGUCCCAGGAGGGAUUCCGGAAUUGAGGGGCAUGCAGGAUUCUGAGCACCAGGGGGAGGGGCAGCCAGACAACCUCAGGGAGGAGUGUCCUGGUGUCCCCAUCCUCCAAAGGGCCUGGGCCCGCCCCGAAGGGGCAGCGAGAGGAGCUUCCCCAUCCCCGGUCAGUCCACCCUGCCCCGUCCACUUUCCCAUGUCCUCGGUAUAAAUCAUGUUUAUAAGUUAUGGAAGAACUGGGACAUUUUACAGAAAAAAAAAA